GGGAGUGUAGCUCACUUGGUAGAGUGCAUGUCUCACAUGCACAAAGCCCUGGGUUCAAUCCCCAGCACCCCA
rnacentral:tRNA from 2 species